CGCCAGACUCCUACGGGAGGCAGCAGUGGGGAAUAUUGGGCAAUGGGCGCAAGCCUGACCCAGCAACGCCGCGUGAAGGAAGAAGGCUUUCGGGUUGUAAACUUCUUUUGACAGGGAAGAGCAGAAGACGAUACCUGUCGAAUAAGCCACGGCUAACUACGUGCCAGCAGCCGCGGUAAUACGUAGGAGGCAAGCGUUGUCCGGAUUUACUGGGUGUAAAGGGCGUGUAGCCGGGCUUACAAGUCAGAUGUGAAAUCCGGGGGCUCAACCCCCGAACUGCAUUUGAAACUGUAGGUCUGGAGUAUCGGAGAGGCAGGCGGAAUUCCUAGUGUAGCGGUGAAAUGCGUGGAUAUUAGGAGGAACACCAGUGGCGAAGGCGGCCUGCUGGACGACAACUGACGGUGAGGCGCGAAAGCGUGGGGAGCAAACAGGAUUAGAUACCCGCGUAU
rnacentral:rRNA from 1 species